GUGGGGUGCAUUGAAUGGCGGCGUGGCGAGAUUCGCCGACGCGCGGGUAAACGACGGGAGUAACCAUGACACUCUUAAGGUAGCCAAAUGCCUCGUCUUCCAAUUAGAGACGCGCAUGAAU
rnacentral:ncRNA from 1 species